AGAUACGGCCCAGACUCCUACGGGAGGCAGCAGUGGGGAAUAUUGCACAAUGGGCGCAAGCCUGAUGCAGCGACGCCGCGUGCGGGAUGACGGCCUUCGGGUUGUAAACCGCUUUUGACUGGGAGCAAGCCCUUCGGGGUGAGUGUACCUUUCGAAUAAGCACCGGCUAACUACGUGCCAGCAGCCGCGGUAAUACGUAGGGUGCAAGCGUUAUCCGGAAUUAUUGGGCGUAAAGGGCUCGUAGGCGGUUCGUCGCGUCCGGUGUGAAAGUCCAUCGCUUAACGGUGGAUCCGCGCCGGGUACGGGCGGGCUUGAGUGCGGUAGGGGAGACUGGAAUUCCCGGUGUAACGGUGGAAUGUGUAGAUAUCGGGAAGAACACCAAUGGCGAAGGCAGGUCUCUGGGCCGUUACUGACGCUGAGGAGCGAAAGCGUGGGGAGCGAACAGGAUUAGAUACCCUGGUAGUCCACGCCGUAAACGGUGGAUGCUGGAUGUGGGGACCAUUCCACGGUCUCCGUGUCGGAGCUAACGCGUUAAGCAUCCCGCCUGGGGAGUACGGCCGCAAGGCUAAAACUCAAAGAAAUUGACGGGGGCCCGCACAAGCGGCGGAGCAUGCGGAUUAAUUCGAUGCAACGCGAAGAACCUUACCUGGGCUUGACAUGUUCCCGACAGCCGUAGAGAUACGGUUUCCCUUCGGGGCGGGUUCACAGGUGGUGCAUGGUCGUCGUCAGCUCGUGUCGUGAGAUGUUGGGUUAAGUCCCGCAACGAGCGCAACCCUCGCCCUGUGUUGCCAGCACGUCGUGGUGGGAACUCACGGGGGACCGCCGGGGUCAACUCGGAGGAAGGUGGGGAUGACGUCAGAUCAUCAUGCCCCUUACGUCCAGGGCUUCACGCAUGCUACAAUGGCCGGUACAACGGGAUGCGACCUCGUGAGGGGGAGCGGAUCCCUUAAAACCGGUCUCAGUUCGGAUUGGAGUCUGCAACCCGACUCCAUGAAGGCGGAGUCGCUAGUAAUCGCGGAUCAGCAACGCCGCGGUGAAUGCGUUCCCGGGCCUUGUACACACCGCCCGUCAAGUCAUGAAAGUGGGUAGCACCCGAAGCCGGUGGCCCAACCUUUUGGGGGGAGCCGUCUAAGGUGAGACUCGUGAUUGGGACUAAGUCGUAACAAGGUAGCCGUACCGGAAGGUGCGGCUG
rnacentral:rRNA from 1 species